UCUCUGCAGAAAAUGAGUUGAUAGUACAC
rnacentral:piRNA from 1 species